rnacentral:rRNA from 1 species
AUACGGAGGUUCCGAGCGUUAUCCGGAAUCAUUGGGUUUAAAGGGUCCGUAGGCGGGAAUCUAAGUCAGCGGUGAAAUCUUGCAGCUCAACUGUAAAAUUGCCAUUGAUACUGGAUUUCUUGAAUUAGUGUGAAGUGGUUAGAAUGUGUAGUGUAGCGGUGAAAUGCAUAGAUAUUACACAGAAUACCAAUUGCGAAGGCAGAUCACUAACACUAUAUUGACGCUGAGGGACGAAAACGUGGGGAGCGAACAGGAUUAGAUACCCGAGUAGUCC